UCAGUUACUCCCAAUCCUUGUAUCAGUGUCUUGACACAACUGUGGCACUGGACAGGUUUGGGGGGGGCU
ensembl:miRNA